UACGUAGGGUUCAAGCGUUAUCCGGAAUCACUGGGCGUAAAGCGUGCGUAGGUGGUUUGUUAAGUGUAUUGCGAAAUCCUGUGGCUCAACCAUAUGGACUGUAAUGCAUACUGGCAAACUAGAGGACGGCAGAGGCAAGUGGAAUUACUGGUGUAGCAGUGAAAUGCGUAGAGAUCAGUAGGAACACCAAUGGCGAAGGCAGCUUGCUGGGCCGACCCUGACGCUAAGGCACGAAAGCGUGGGGAGCGAACAGG
rnacentral:rRNA from 1 species